UGUAGUCAUAUGCUUGUCUCAAAGAUUAAGCCAUGCAUGUCUAAGUAUAAACACCUUUGUACUGUGAAACUGCGAAUGGCUCAUUAAAUCAGUUAUAGUUUAUUUGAUGGUGCUUACUACAUGGAUAACCGUGGUAAUUCUAGAGCUAAUACAUGCGCAAAAGACCCGACUGUUUGGGAGGGUUGUAUUUAUUAGAUAAAAAACCAAUCGGCUUCGGCUGUUUCCGGUGACUCAUAAUAACUGUGCGAAUCGCAUGGCCUUGCGCCGGCGAUGAAUCAUUCAAAUUUCUGCCCUAUCAACUUUCGAUGGUAAGGUAUUGGCUUACCAUGGUUGCAACGGGUAACGGGGAAU
rnacentral:rRNA from 1 species